UAUAACGCUACAAUUUGUGCGCUUAAUAAACCUUUCAAAUUAACAUUUGGAAUUGCUAUUUCUUUGAAAUAUAUAUAGCAUGUUAUGAAAACGGCCGUUCGGUGAUUCAUAGACAGGAUGAUAAAUGUUUGAAGGCACGAUUAAGGAGAUUUGGAGUAACCGAUCGGAUCUUGACGGGACCUAAAUAUAUUCAGAUAUAAAGCAUAAUAUUAUAUUGUCUGGCAGAACGGCAGGCGAGUUGUUGUUGCUGACAUUUCUG